rnacentral:rRNA from 1 species
UUAAGAUUUAUUUAUUAAUUUUUUUAUUUUAUUUAUUAAAUUAUUAAAAAUAAUUAUAUUAAUAUAAAGUUUUAGUAAGUUAUAUAGAAAAAAUAAUAUUAAUUAUAGUUUAAUAGUAUUGUGAAAGAAAAUUGAAAUAAUUGAAAAAUUUUUAUUUUAAAAGAAAAUUUAAUUUAUUGUACCUUGUGUAUCAGGGUUUAUUAAAUAAAUAUUAUAAAUAAAUAAUUUUCUCGAUUUUAUAAGAGUUAAUAUAUUAUAAAAGUUAAUGUAAAAAAAUUAUUUUUAAUAAUAUAUUAGAAAUGAAAUGUUAUUCGUUUAUAAAGGUAUCUAGUUCUUUAAGAAAUAAAUUUAAUUUAGGAAUUUUAUAUUAUUUAAUUAGUUGAAUUAAUUAAAUAAUUAUUUAAUUUUAAUAUUUUAUGGGAUAAGCUAUAAAAUAAAUUAUUAAAAAUUAAUAAAUAAUUAAUAAAUAUAAGCUUAAUAAUAGCUAUUAUUAAUAAAAAUGUUAUAAUUUAUUUUUAUAAAAUUAUUAUUUAUUAAAAUUUUAAGUUUUUAUUAAAGUAUUUAUUUUAAUUUUAAAAAUAAAGUAAUAAUGAUAAAAUUAGUAUAUUUUUAUGUAAAAAUAAUUUUUAAUGAAAAGUUUAUAUAAAGAAUUCGGCAAAAAUAAUGUUCGCCUGUUUAACAAAAACAUGUCUUUUUGAUAAGUAUAAAAAGUCUAACCUGCCCACUGAAUAUUUUAAAUGGCCGCAGUAUAUUAACUGUGCAAAGGUAGCAUAAUAAUUAGUCUUUUAAUUGAAGGCUUGUAUGAAUGGUUGGACGAGAUAUUAACUGUUUCAUUUAAAUUUUUUAUAGAAUUUUAUUUUUUAGUAAAAAAGCUAAAAUUUAUUUAAAAGACGAGAAGACCCUAUAAAUCUUUAUAUUUAAAUUAUUAUAAUUUUAUAGAUUAUUUUUGUUAUUAUAAUUUAUAAUAUUUUAUUGGGGUGAUAUUAAAAUUUAAUAAACUUUUAAUUGUUUAGAUCAUUAAUUUAUGAAUAAUUGAUCCAUUAUUAGUGAUUAAAAAAAUAAGUUACUUUAGGGAUAACAGCGUAAUUUUUUUGGAGAGUUCAUAUCGAUAAAAAAGAUUGCGACCUCGAUGUUGGAUUAAGAUAUAAUUUUAGGUGUAGCCGCUUAAAUUUUAAGUCUGUUCGACUUUUAAAUUCUUACAUGAUCUGAGUUCAAACCGGCGUAAGCCAGGUUGGUUUCUAUCUUUAAAAAAUUAAAAUAUUUUAGUACGAAAGGAUUGAAUAUUUGAUAAAUUAUUAUUUAUUAUAUUGAAUAUAAUUAAUAU